AACAAGGCGUACCUGCGGACCUGCGGAGGAUCAUUACAAGUGACCCCGGUCUAACCACCGGGAUGUUCAUAACCCUUUGUUGUCCGACUCUGUUGCCUCCGGGGCGACCCUGCCUUCGGGCGGGGGCUCCGGGUGGACACUUCAAACUCUUGCGUAACUUUGCAGUCUGAGUAAACUUAAUUAAUAAAUUAAAACUUUUAACAACGGAUCU
rnacentral:misc_RNA from 1 species